rnacentral:rRNA from 1 species
GUCUUAUUGAUAAAUAAUUUUAAGUCUUGCCUGCCCCCUGUUUAAAUAAAGGGCCGCAGUAUUUUGACUGUGCUAAGGUAGCAUAAUCAUUAGUUUUUUAAUUGAAAGCUAGAAUGAAUGGUAUUAUGAAAAAAUAACUGUCUCUUUUAUAUAAUUAAAAUUUUAUUUUUAAGUAAAAAAGCUUAAAUAAAGUUAAAAGACGAGAAGACCCUAUAGAAUUUUAUUUAAAUUAAUUUUUAAUUUAUUAGUAAUUAAGAUUUAUUAAAUUAGUUUAUAUUUAAUUGGGGUGAUUAGAAAAUUUGGUAAUCUUUUCUUUAUACUACCAUUGAUAUAUGAUUAUAUGAUUCAUUUUAAUGAUUAAAGAAUAAAUUACCUUAGGGAUAACAGCGUAAUUUUUUUUUAAAGUUCAAAUUAAAAAGAAAGAUUGCGACCUCGAUGUUGGAUUAAAUUAAUUUUUUGGUGAAGAAGCUAAAAUGUUAAGUCUGUUCGACUUUUAAAAUUUUACA